rnacentral:Y_RNA from 1 species
AGCUGGUCCAGGUGCAGUGGUGUUUACAACUAAUUGAUCACAACCUGUUACAGAUUCCUUUGUUCCUUCACUUGACUAGCCUUUA